AUGCAGUCGAGCGGACAGAUGGGAGCUUGCUCCCUGAUGUUAGCGGCGGACGGGUGAGUAACACGUGGGUAACCUGCCUGUAAGACUGGGAUAACUCCGGGAAACCGGGGCUAAUACCGGAUGGUUGUCUGAACCGCAUGGUUCAGACAUAAAAGGUGGCUUCGGCUACCACUUACAGAUGGACCCGCGGCGCAUUAGCUAGUUGGUGAGGUAACGGCUCACCAAGGCGACGAUGCGUAGCCGACCUGAGAGGGUGAUCGGCCACACUGGGACUGAGACACGGCCCAGACUCACUACGGGAGGCAGCAGUAGGGAAUCUUCCGCAAUGGACGAAAGUCUGACGGAGCAACGCCGCGUGAGUGAUGAAGGUUUUCGGAUCGUAAAGCUCUGUUGUUAGGGAAGAACAAGUGCCGUUCAAAUAGGGCGGCACCUUGACGGUACCUAACCAGAAAGCCACGGCUAACUACGUGCCAGCAGCCGCGGUAAUACGUAGGUGGCAAGCGUUGUCCGGAAUUAUUGGGCGUAAAGGGCUCGCAGGCGGUUUCUUAAGUCUGAUGUGAAUGCCC
rnacentral:rRNA from 1 species